CCGGCGGGCGGCGGAGGGGAGACCGGGCCGGCGGAGGCGGCGGCGGCAACGGGCGGGGGAGGGGGCUGAUCCCGCGUCUCCCCUCAGCAGACAAUACAAGCGCCUCGGAGCGAGUCCCCGAACCUGCCCUAGCCAAAAUGGCGGCCGAGAAAGAGCGGAAGUGACGUAAAUACCUCAUUAGCAUAAGAGGACUCAUUGUCCAGCUAAGUAGGGGGGGCAGUGGGGGGCUUUACCCCUUCCCCCCAUGUCCCCCAGGGACAACUGUCUCACUCCCACUUGUGCUUGCACCAAACUUUUUUGGAGGGAGGGUGGCACCAGCACCCCCACCUAAGAGAAAUUAUAUAAUCCCCUCUGAGGGGGAGCUCUCGCGAGAACCAAGAGGAUUUGCCAUUGACCCACUAGGAGGCGCCGCGGAUAAUGGCCGCAGUGCGCUUCCAGGGCCCGUGUGCACGGCGGGCGCCUUCCUCCGGCCGCAGCGCCGGCGGCGGAGGCACAAGCAGCGGGCCGCAGCACGCCCUGCACUCAGUCAGGUGGCCGUGCUGGGGAUCCCUGCGCGGGCCCAGCUGGGCCUGGACUACAUCUGGCGGGAGGGGGCGUGCGGGCAGCCCGGCGGCUCCACGUGCCGGGUGGCCCGCGCUCUCACGGCCCGGCGGCCGCGGGAAGGGCAGGGGCACCUGGCCGGCCGUGCGCGAUGCCUCCGGCCUUAAAUGAGGCGUGAGGGCCUCGUGCUUCACACACCGACUGGAGAGGAGACACAGGCCCUCGGAGGCCUGGCUCCGUUCUGGUGGGGUGGGCUACUCGGUGGGCAGGGGCUGCGUCUUACAGAAGGCCGGCUGCCGCCCUGGGACUGGACAUUCUUCCGGGUCCGUGAUGGGCUCUUCUCUUUGGCCUGAAGAAAACAAACGGGAUCCCUAGCGCGUUGAGGCCACCGGACUGGUGAAGCCUGAAGAUGAGAAGGGGUGUUGCCAACGGGCCUCCCCAAGAUGCUCAAUGACUAUGCCAACUGUAGUCUCGGGGACACUUUUAGGGUGACCACAAUCUGGCACACGGGCAGUCUGCCUCUCGAUUUAGGUCAACCCCAACCAACACAUCAUGUCAACAUUUCUGAACCCACCUUUCAUAGCAGAGUGCAUCUGAGAGUAUGUCCUUGGCUAAACAGCCUGGAGAGUAACGAAUACCAAUCAUGAAGGUUUAACCAAGCCUGUUCCCUUAAGGUCUGCUCUGAAAUGGCCAAAGGAUUCAUCAUUAGGGUGGCUCCUGGCAACGGCAAGAAGAAAAGGAGCAAAGACACUCAUCCCACGAGGCUGGGUGACCAGAAGAAAGGGCAAAGUGAAUAAGGUACCAGUAGCUUUUAAUCCCUUAAGAGAGAAUGCUGCCUUCUAUUAAGGUUUUACAUCUUAGGGUCAAAUGUAGGUAGUAAUUUGGAAGUGAAAUGAAUUUUCAACCUUUAGUGCACGGACAUUCUAAACAACUGGAAGCUUUCCACAUUUAUUCAGUAGUUGUGCAAGUUAAACUUUUUAUUAUAAAAAGUCUAAACCUAUUGUUCCUUUACAAGGAAUACAGUGGACUAUUCACCAUCAGUUGCCUACCUCGCCAAUAGUAUAAUUCAACUGCCUUGCCCGAACAAUCAUCUCCAUCUGGAAGACAUAGCCUUUGGAAACACAUUUUUCUAUUAAUUUCUGUAGGACUUCUUUUCGGUAUAACCUGUGAGAAAUUAAAAUAUACAUGAACACCUAGGUAAAUACACUUGCCUACAUGUAACCUGAUCUUUGGAAAGUUCACUGGUAUUUAUAAAACCUGAAACUUUCACUAGCCAUCUGUAUGCAGAAAAGUGGUCACAGCUGAUGAUUAUGACACUUGUCCUGAACCGGAAUGGUCAUGAAAUAUUUGGUAAAUAAUUUAGAAUAAUUUUGAAAAUGAAUUCUUAGUGUCUUUUAAGGAAGUUAUAAAAAUAGGGUAAAGUGAAUCACUUGAAGCAGAACCACCCACUGUUUUUAGUUUUUAAAUUUUCUUAAAAUUUAUUUUUCAGGUUGAACAAAGGGAAACUGUUGCAAAUAUUGCAACAAUAGAGUUGACAGAUGAUGAUGAAUCCACAAUAUAAAGCAGAACACACUCAGUAACUAACAGGUGUUUCCUCACAAAUGCCUAUGACCAGUUUCUAUUUCCCAAGAUCUACUAAAUAAAUUCCCUGGGAUAAACUGAAGUACCUCUAGGGGACUUAAGGGAGAGUUCCUGAAGAAAGUGACUGGGUUCACCCACAGGACUUCUUAGCUCCUCUGUCUUACUCUGUAAAUUUGAUGGGAUCUGUUUGGCCUGCAGCCCAUCUAAAGUUGGGCUGGACAUCUGUCCAUUAUACAUAUCUAACUGUGACCUUAAUUGGCAAUAGCUGUAUCUUACCAGGACUGCCUCAAUCCUGUGAUGCCUAAGUUCCUGUCUUAACCUAGCUUAACCUAGAGUGUCAAUACUAAAAAAAAAAAAAGGAAAAAAAAAAAAAAAAGAAUCAACAUUUAAUGGAAAAGAGCAAGUAUCAAGUAAUAUAAAUUAUCAACUAAUGCAUGAGGUUUAGGCCUUAAAGUAGAGGAACAGACAUCUUCUAGCUUCAGAGACAAAAAAGUGGCAGUCUUUAGUCAUUUGGCAUGGUCAUACGAAACAGUUCAUCUACUAUAGCAGUUCAAAAAUUAAAAACAUACCCCCCCCCCAAAACAAACAAAAAUUACCCCUUCCCAACCUGGCAGGAGGCUUUAUUCCAAUUAAACAAGGCUUGCUUUUUAAUUGAAAGCAUAUGGAGAACAAGGUAACUGAAGUCUUUAAACUUUUCUGUGGACUGUGCCAUAAAUAUUCAUAUAAAUUGCAGAAAAUUGCUGGUAGAUGUGUUCUUUGGAGCACAUCACCAGUGACAGCCAUGUUCUGAAUAAGCAGUUGAGUAACCACCUUGGCCCUCUGGGGGCCCCCAAGGGGCUGAGCACCAGUGAGAAUGUUAACAAACACACUAACCUAAGCCCUGCCUUGGAUGCUCUUUAGAAAGUACACAUUUUUCCUUAAGAAGAUGCUUAGGCCUCAUUAGCAACUCUGAAGGAACUUCAGUCGGCCUUUGUGUGUUCCAGAAGAAAAAUGGGGUAGAAAUGAAAAGCAUUUCCUAAAUAAGCCACUGUAUAGCCAGAAAGUUUAUACAGAAAAUAUAAAAUUACAAGUUUUUACUGUACCUGAAACUUCCUGUUAAAUCAGAUGCUCCUGGUCUGAGCAAAAUCUGAGUUAUAAAAUUGGCCCCACGGCUGUUAAAUAAAACAAUCAGAUUUUCUUUAUAAAAUACAUUUUUUAAACAAGAGAAACACAUCUGAGAUCAGAGUGCUAAAAUUGCUACACAAAUUUCAUAAAUACAACUGUUUCACAAAAAUGUCAAUUUUAUAGGGAUGCCUGGGUGGCUCAAUCAGUUAAGCAUCUGACUUGAGCUCAGGUCAUGAUCUCAUGGUUCAUGAGCCCCACAUCGGGCUCUCUGCUCUCAGUGCAAAGCCUGCUUCGGAUCCUGUCUCCCUCUCUCUCUGCCCCUACCCCACUCAUGCCCUCUCUUUCAAAAAUAAACAUUUAAAAAAAUGUUAAUUUUAUAAAAAAGUUUAGUCAGUAAAAGAUUUGACAUUCUCAUUUUUCAGAAAAUGGGGACUUUUAUUCUCAAAUGUGACAUGUAGAGGGGACCUAUAAAACAAUCAUUCUUCUAAAUUUUAGGUAAGAAAGGUAACAUUUUAAAUUCAACUUGCCUAUUUGCCAACAGCCAUUAUUUAGAAUUAUGAGCAUCUCUCAGAGAGCAAAAGGGAUCAGGGAUUUGGAGUAUCCUUUUCAGAUUCUAAUCAGCAACAAGGGAUUGUGGAUUUCAAGUAAUGCAACAGGUCAGUCUGCAUAAAUAUGGCUUUUUUUUUUUUUUUUUUUUUUUUU